UACGAAGGGGGCAAGCGUUGUCCGGAUUUAUUGGGCGUAAAGAGCGUGUAGGCGGCCAGGUAGGUCCGCUGUGAAAACUGGAGGCUUAACCUCCAGCUGUCGAUGGAAACCAUCUGGCUAGAGUCCGGAAGAGGAGAGUGGAAUUCCUGGUGUAGCGGUGAAAUGCGCAGAUAUCAGGAAGAACACCCGUGGCGAAGGCGGCUCUCUGGGACGGUACUGACGCUGAGACGCGAAAGCGUGGGGAGCGAACAGG
rnacentral:rRNA from 1 species